rnacentral:rRNA from 1 species
UACGUAUGGGGCAAGCGUUAUCCGGAUUUACUGGGUGUAAAGGGAGCGCAGGCGGCCUGGCAAGCCUGAUGUGAAAUACCGGGGCCCAACCCCGGGGCUGCAUUGGGAACUGCCAGGCUGGAGUGCCGGAGAGGCAGGCGGAAUUCCUAGUGUAGCGGUGAAAUGCGUAGAUAUUAGGAGGAACACCAGUGGCGAAGGCGGCCUGCUGGACGACAACUGACGGUGAGGCGCGAAAGCGUGGGGAGCAAACAGG